GGGUGAGUGUAGGUAGGGAGCAGAGGGGGCCCACUUAUACCCUACCCUUUAGUAAAAUGAUUUAAUUGUCUCUUUUUGCCCUCCCACCUCUUAUUUCACAGAAGGAAUAGCUUUGUGCUGGACAGGGUCUGGAUGCUGAGAAGGGGGACCUGGAGAGAUGUAGUGUGGCAAUGAGGGAGAAAAGAAGAGUGUACUAUGACCCUUCCCAGAGGAUCUCAGCUUCUUCCUGAGUAGCCUAGAUGGGUCUCCAGUUCCUACCUCCACAUCCAAGGACCCCCUUAGAGGUUCGAAUUCAGCUGAGAGGGCAUGGAGUCAGCUUGAUCCUGAAAAGUGACAGCCAGGGGCCAAGGCAUCUCGGAUAGAAGAAGUACAUCUCCGACAGAGACUUCCCAAUGAGGAACCUGGAGCAGAGCCUGAGACAUGGGUGGUCAUGAUACUGUCUUCCAGACAGAUGGACUCAGUAUCUGGAGUGAGGCCGAGGAUUCUAGGACAGUCUUCCGAGGCACAGCUUGAAGGCUGUGAGGAGAAAUACAAAGAACAUACGCCUUGAAGCCACUUGGUCUGGCUUCUGUGUAGUCAUGAUGUUGACUAAAUGAUAUCCCUCUCUGCCUCAGUUUCCUCUUCAGCCAAGUAGGGCUGGUUUCUGUGGUGGGUGUUAGGAUACAGUUGGGGAUACAAAUGACAGGCUCCCAGCAUGACACCUGCCAUUCCACACAGGUUCCCUCCCUGUGUUUUUCUCUGUCUUGG
rnacentral:lncRNA from 1 species